GUGAGGAAUAUUGGUCAAUGGGCGAGAGCCUGAACCAGCCAAGUCGCGUGAAGGAAGAAGGAUCUAUGGUUCGUAAACUUCUUUUGCAGGGGAAUAAAGUGCGGGACGUGUCCUGUUUUGUAUGUACCCUGAGAAUAAGGAUCGGCUAACUCCGUGCCAGCAGCCGCGGUAAUACGGAGGAUCCGAGCGUUAUCCGGAUUUAUUGGGUUUAAAGGGUGCGUAGGUGGUUUGAUAAGUCAGCGGUGAAAGUUUGCAGCUUAACUGUAAAAAUGCCGUUGAAACUGUCGGACUUGAGUGUAAAUGAGGUAGGCGGAAUGCGUGGUGUAGCUGUGAAAUGCAUAGAUAUCACGCAGAACUCCGAUUGCGAAGGCAGCUUACUAAGCUACAACUGACACUGAAGCACGAAAGCGUGGGGAUCAAACAGGAUUAGAAACCCCAGUAGUCC
rnacentral:rRNA from 1 species